ensembl:antisense Gm13569 predicted gene 13569
AAACCAUCUCGGUCAUUUCCAUCUUCACAGAGAAAAAUACACAGAAGAAAAAAAUGAGCAUCACAGCUCAAGAGAUCCAAGUGAAGCUAUGACAGAAACUGAAUGGCACAUGGACAUCGAAUGAAUGAGCUGAAUGGACUCAACUCAUUUCCUCAUGCUUCAUGCCCAUUGAUACCAUAAGUCUUAAGAAAAGACUCUCACCAGCAGCUCAACUGUCAUCUGCUUCAGAGGACUCAUUCUGCUCUAAAAGAGAUUUGCCCAUUAUCUAUAUCUAUAUCAUCUAUCUCUAUAUCAUCUCUAUCUCUAUCUCUAUCUAUAUCUUUAUCUCUAUCUCUAUCACCUAUCUAUCUAUCUAUCUAUCUAUCUAUCUAUCUAUCUAUCUAUCUAUCUAUCUAUCAUCUAUCUAUAUCUUCCAGCUAUACUCCUACAACAAGACUUCAUCCUCAUCUCUCCCUUGUGUGGAUCAUGACUUCAUUCUCUGAAAUCACAAGACAACAACACUGUCACCAACUCUGUAAGUUUCAUGUGACCAUGGAUAUACUGCACUCUAGCUCCCAAGAUAAAGC